UACAGAGGGGGCAAGCGUUGUUCGGAAUUACUGGGCGUAAAGGGCGCGUAGGCGGCCUUCUAAGUCGAACGUGAAAUCCCCGGGCUCAACCCGGGAACUGCGUCCGAUACUGGAAGGCUUGAAUCCGGGAGAGGGAUGCGGAAUUCCAGGUGUAGCGGUGAAAUGCGUAGAUAUUGGGAAGAACACCGGUGGCGCAAGCGACUUGCUGGGCCAUAACUGACACUGAGGAACGAAAGCUAGGGGAGCGAAUGGG
rnacentral:rRNA from 1 species